UACAGAGGGGGCAAGCGUUGUUCGGAAUUACUGGGCGUAAAGGGCGCGUAGGCGGCCCGCUAAGUCGAACGUGAAAUCCCCGAGCUCAACUCGGGAACUGCGUCCGAUACUGGCGGGCUUGAAUCCGGGAGAGGGAUGCGGAAUUCCCCAAGUAGAGGUGAAAUUCGUAGAUAUGGGGAGGAACACCGGUGGCGAAGGCGGCCACCUGGACGGUAACUGACGCUGAGACGCGAAAGCGUGGGGAGCAAACAGG
rnacentral:rRNA from 1 species